rnacentral:ncRNA from 1 species
CCAACAGCUCUUUUAAGAGCUAUCAAAUUUCGAAAAAGAAUAAAA